rnacentral:rRNA from 1 species
GACAGAGGGUGCUAGCGUUGUUCGGAAUUACUGGGCGUAAAGCGUACGUAGGUGGUCUUGUAUGUCUGGUGUGAAAUCCCUUGGCUCAACCAAGGAAGUGCGCCGGAAACUGCGAGACUGGAGUGUGAGAGAGGAUGGUAGAAUUCUCAGUGUAGAGGUGAAAUUCGUAGAUACUGGGAGGAACACCGGUGGCGAAGGCGACCAUCUGGAUCAUAACUGACACUGAUGUACGAAAGCGUGGGUAGCAAACAGG